rnacentral:RNase_P_RNA from 1 species
CCAGUUAGCCCAGAUGAUUGCCCCGAUGAAUAUCGGGGAGGAAAGUCCGGACACCUGUCCCGCGCAAGCGGGAUAAAGUGGCAGUCGUGAAAAUGACCGGGUAUACGCAAAACGGUCACAAAUUUUCGAUCGUAAUUUGUGACUGGUCAAUCGCCAAACCCAGGGAAAGCGCAACAGAAAGCAAACAGCCCACUUCCAAAUUUAUUUGGAAAGGCAAUGGUGAAACUGUGUGGUAAGAGCACACACUUUUCUAUGGCAACAUAGAAUUGCAGCAAGCCCUGCCUGGUGCAAGUCCAUUGACGGACGUUUAGAUAGAUAAUCAUCAUCCCCCACUUUAUAAUUGAUUGUUUUUGGGAUAAUCGUGGUAUAACCAAUAUAUGCCAUUAAAAAACAGAGAUUGUUAUGCCGAAAAAUUAAGAGCCCUUGGCUCUUAUCAAUUAUAAAGUGGGGGAACAGAAUCCGGCUUAUGACUGGCUGGGACA